rnacentral:pre_miRNA from 1 species
UCUGGACAUCUUUAUAGUCAGGCUUUGGCUAAAUUCCCGCUAAGGGCUGGAAUUUAGCCAGGAGCCUGACUGGAAAAAUCUUACAGUGC